CUCAGUCAGCCAACAGCCAAGUAAAAGCAAAGUAGUGGAGCACUUUGCCACGACCCUGUGUGGCAUGUGGCAGUUGUAAACGCAUCGUGUGCAAGUCAAGUUGAUAGCAGCGGUUAACGUGUGAAUUUAAAGUAAAGAAAAAAUCAACGACAACGCGGUGUAGAAGUGAAUUUGAAGUAGAGAGCGUGUGUGAAUAGAAGUCUUGAAAGUUUAUCAGUAAAAAUUUAACAAAAAAAAUUAAAAAAUAUUUAAUGAAUGCAAUUGAUUGUUGCUGUGUAGUGUGUGAGAAAAGUAAUUAUUGAACAAACGCUUCAAUGAGCUACUGAUAGGCGAGUGCGUGAAUUGUGUAAAAGUCAGUCACACGCUAAGUUAAACGCUGCUGGCUGAUAAGCUACACAUGUAUAUGUGUAUGUAUGUAUGUAUAUAUGACCACAGAGCAAGCCACUGAAGUAUCGAGCGGAAGCGUAAAUAUUUUGAAAAUAUACAAAGAAAACAUUUGCUAUAAGAAAAUUGUGCAAAAGGUCAACGAAAGUUCACUAAAAGCAACCGGCAACGCCUCGACGCUCGACGAAGUGUACAGAGCAUUGACGCUAUUUUGUGACAGUUACGCCUGCAAUAAGCGCGAUUGGUGUUGAGAGUGGCAGUGCAAAAGUGUUGCGCGGAAGUGACAAUUAUACAGUAAAAAGAAAAAGAGGUGGAAGCUAAAGUGACAUUUGUGAACGUUUAAGAAGACACUUGAGUGUUGGUAGGCUCAUAAGAACUUUUAUGAUCCCAGACUAGUGUAAAGUGGUGGAGCGCCGCUGAAAAAGUGUGUUUACUUGUGGCAUAUAAUUGUGAUUGGCUGGAAAUUGAUUUAUGUCAAAACACAACGCGUACAAAGGAAAUCAAAAUAAGCCAGUGAACGAGCGCCAGAGGAUUGGCGAAAACCAAAGUCCAAAAUCAAAAAUAAUUGAAAUUGAAUUAAAUCCUGCGAAUGAAACGACAAGCAAACAAAACAAAUUGAAAUGAAAGAAAAUUAUAUUUUUGAAAAUCAAUCAGCAAAUCCAAUUGUAUUGUUGAACAAAGUGAGCAGUUAGACCAACCAACAAAACAGUAAAGAAAUAAAAAAAGUUGCAA